UACAGAGGGGGCAAGCGUUAUUCGGAAUUAUUGGGCGUAAAGGGCGCGUAGGCGGCCUGGCAAGUGGAAGGUGAAAUCCCUCGGCUUAACCGAGGAACUGCCCUCCAAACUGCUUGGCUUGAGACCGGGAGAGGUGAGUGGAAUUCCCAGUGUAGCGGUGAAAUGCGUAGAUAUUGGGAGGAACACCAGUGGCGAAGGCGGCUCACUGGACCGGUAUUGACGCUGAGGCGCGAAAGCUAGGGGAGCAAACGGG
rnacentral:rRNA from 1 species